AUAAUGAAACUUCUGUCUGGCUAACGUAGGUUAAGGGGCAGUCCGUAGAGAUCCUAGGGAACGUGAAAUUCGUAUGG
ncrna:unclassified sequences pemK RNA